GUGGGGAAUAUUGGGCAAUGGGGGAAACCCUGACCCAGCAACGCCGCGUGAAGGAAGAAGGUUUUCGGAUCGUAAACUUCUAUCCUUGGUGAAGAUAAUGACGGUAGCCAAGAAGGAAGCCCCGGCUAACUACGUGCCAGCAGCCGCGGUAAUACGUAGGGGGCAAGCGUUGUCCGGAAUGAUUGGGCGUAAAGGGCGCGUAGGCGGCCUGGUAAGUGUGGAGUGAAAGUCCUGCUUUUAAGGUGGGAAUUGCUUUGGAUACUGUCGGGCUUGAGUGCAGGAGAGGUAAGCGGAAUUCCCGGUGUAGCGGUGAAAUGCGUAGAGAUCGGGAGGAACACCAGUGGCGAAGGCGGCUUACUGGACUGUAACUGACGCUGAGGCGCGAAAGUGUGGGGAGCAAACAGGAUUAGAAACCCCGUAGUCC
rnacentral:rRNA from 1 species